rnacentral:rRNA from 1 species
UACGUAGGUGGCAAGCGUUGUCCGGAUUUACUGGGCGUAAAGAGCGCGCAGGCGGUCGUUCAAGUCGCGUGUGAAAGCCCCCGGCUCAACUGGGGAGGGUCACUCGAUACUGAUCGACUGGAAGGCAGGAGAGGGAAGCGGAAUUCCCGGUGUAGUGGUGAAAUGCGUAGAUAUCGAGAGGAACACCAGUGGCGAAGGCGGCUUCCUGGCCUGUUCUUGACGCUGAGGCGCGAAAGCUAGGGGAGCAAACGGG